UCCAAACAAGUAAUUUGUCAAUUGUGUCAUUGUGUGUCAAUUGUUUUCCUUCAUUUUUAAAAUUUAUAUCUGUUUAUAUUUGUAUUUUUAUUUGUAUUUCUCAGAUUUAUAAAAUGGUGAUGUGCUGGGCACCAGAUUGCAAGCAUUAUAGCGUUAGGGAGACAUGCAAAUUUUUCAGAUUCCCGAAGGAUAUAAAGAAAAGGAAGAAGUGGAAAAAACUUACAAGGCGCGACAGUGAGCCUGGUCCCAGUGCAUGUUUAUGCAGUUGUCACUUUCGUGAUGGGAAGAAGGAGAAUGGACCAGAAUUGUUCUCACAUAACAGAACAAAAAAAUUUACUUGGACUGAUCCAGAAAAACGAACUCGCAAGCGGAAAUGUGUUUCAGAAGAAGUUUUGGAUUUAGACUCAGUUCAAUCUCAUAACAUUCA
rnacentral:misc_RNA from 1 species